GAUGAAGAACGUAGCGAAAUGCGAUACGUAAUGUGAAUUGCAAAUUCAGUGAAUCAUCGAGUCUUUGAACGCACAUUGCGCCCCCUGGUAUUCCGGGGGGCAUGCCUGUCCGAGCGUCAUUGCUGCCCUCAAGCACGGCUUGUGUGUUGGGCCCCGUCCUCCGAUCCCGGGGGACGGGCCCGAAAGGCAGCGGCGGCACCGCGUCCGGUCCUCGAGCGUAUGGGGCUUUGUCACCCGCUCUGUAGGCCCGGCCGGCGCUUGCCGAUCAACCCAAAUUUUUAUCCAGGUUGACCUCGGAUCAGGUAGGGAUACCCGCUGAACUUUAGCAUAUCAAUAAGCGGAGGA
rnacentral:misc_RNA from 1 species